rnacentral:rRNA from 1 species
CGUGAAAUUGUUGAAAGGGAAACGAUUAAAGUCAGUCGUACCGAUGAGCAUUCAGCCUUUUGGGUGCGAUUAUGUGGUACAUGAAAAGAUUUCGUGAAUUGCAUAUUUGUGCCUUUUGGGUGUACUUGUUCGUAUGGUAGGUUAACAUCAAUUUCGGUCGUCAUAAAAUGGCGGGAGGAAUGUAGCUUCUCCGGCAGUGUUAUAGCCCCUGGUAGAUGUGAUAACUGAGAUUUAGGAUUGCAACGAAUACC